CGGACGGGUGAGUAAUGCCUAGGAAUCUGCCUGGUAGUGGGGGACAACGUUUCGAAAGGAACGCUAAUACCGCAUACGUCAUACGGGAGAAAGCAGGGGACCUUCGGGCCUUGCGCUAUCAGAUGAGCCUAGGUCGGAUUAGCUAGUUGGUGAGGUAAUGGCUCACCAAGGCGACGAUCCGUAACUGGUCUGAGAGGAUGAUCAGUCACACUGGAACUGAGACACGGUCCAGACUCCUACGGGAGGCAGCAGCG
rnacentral:rRNA from 1 species